GGUAGAUAUAGUUUAAAGGUAAAACAUAUAUUUGUGGUAUAUAACAUCAGAGUUCGAUUCUCUGUAUUUACC
rnacentral:tRNA from 1 species